CUGAGCCACCCAGGCGCCCCCGAGUGCUGGUUUUCAAAAGAACAAAAGAAAUUUCCAACAUUGGCCCUUUGAUUGCCAAGAGUCGCCUUGCUCCGUGAAGGAGAAGGAUCUGCCCAAGGUGGCCCCGGGACAUAGACGGAGCACUCUGAGCCCUACCAGAAGGGGUUUGAGUCUGCAGAGUGCCUCCGUCUCAUCCCCGAGAGAAAAGAAAGAACGGCUUCCACGUCCUGUGAUGGUUCUGAGGAUGCGGUGGGAUGGUGAGUGUUUGGAGCUCCAGACGGGGCCCGGUCCUUUGUCAGCACUCAGUCGGAGGGAGCGGUAGCUGUGCUCUGCCAGGAGUAAAGCCAUUUGCCCUCAUCACUCAGCAACGGAUUUUUUGGCACUCCCUUAAACUUUGCACCUGAGUCGAGUGCCUCACUCUCCUCACCCUAGUCCUGACCCUGCUGGAGAUGCCUCUGUCGCGAAUUGAAUUGUGGCCCCCAAAAGAUAUGCCCACCUUCUCGCACUCAGAAUUGGUGGGUGUGCCCUUACUUGGAAAAAGAGUCUUUACAGAUAUCAUUAAGGAAUUCAAGAUGACGGUCUAUCGGGGUUGGGCCCUAAAUCUAUUGACAGACAUCCUUAGGCAGAAGAGGAGAUGACACAGACACACAGAAGAGACAGCCUCGUGAAGACGGAAAUAGAGAUGAAGUUAUGCAACCACAAGCCGAGUAGUGACCAGAAGCUGGAAGAAGCAAGGAGGAUCCUUCCUCAGAGCCUUUGGAAGGAAUAUCGCCCUGCCAACCACUUGACUUUAGCAGUCAGGCGUCCAGUCUGUGAGAGAGUGAAUUUAUAGUUGGGGCACAAGUGGAUUUAUAGUGGACUCACUGCCAUUGCCCAUGGAACACUGACUAAUGGACUGAUGCUGAUCUGGAAGGCUGCUGAAAAGAAAACUGAAAAUCAAACAAAGUGCUUUCUGUAAAGGUCUUAAAAGUGGUGCUGCCGCUGGUAUUUACACACAGGUCAGUCUGACACCCCAGCUGAAAAUGCUCUUCCCUAUACUCCACUGGUUUUUCAGAUGAAAUGUAUCAGUAAAGUGUAAAUGCUACACUUAGUUGAAGAAACCCAAUGCCGUGAGUGCAGAAUGGAGGAGAUGUGGUUUCACAGUGGUUCGUGUGAAAAGGUGUGAAGGGUUUGUUUGCCUGCAAGCACCUUAUGAAUCAUCAGGGUGAGUCACUGACUUCUCCCCAAAUGAAUAAAAUCUUGGGCUAUGAAACAGUGCUCAGAACAAAGAAGGGCAAGAGUCAUAUUGUGCUCUACCAUGACUGAAAUAUGGUGCUUGCUUCUGGGACACUCAGGAUAUCCUAAGAAAGCACUGUUAAUGUGAGCAAGUCCAGGAUAAUUUGACCAGAAUGACAAAUUUAAGUCAAAUGAAAUAUGGUUGAAGAAACUACAAUGUAGCAAGCAUGUUACCUCUAGCUAUAUAUAGUUAACAUCUGCUAAUGUGUACUGGAGGCCAGACGCUAAUCUAGAAGUUUUCAGCCAUAAUUCAUUUAAUCCUCAAAAUAAUUUUGACAUAGCUUUUGUUAUCAUCACUUCUGUUUUACAGAUAAAGAAACUGAGACACAGAGUGGUUAUAUCAUGCUUCCUGGGGUCACAUAGUCACAAACUCUGAAAGUUUGGCUCCUAUCUUAAACUGGAGCAAGAAAUUAGAAGAGGAGUUAUAUACAUUAUUUGGCUCCAGAAAAAAAAAAGUAAACCAGAGAGAAUGCUCUAGAAGAGCACAGUUGGAUUCCAUCUCAAAAAGAAUAUUGUUUUACAAUAUCUCAAAAGAAUUUUGCUGAGUUCUCUAUUAGUAGAAGCUUUCAGUCAGGCAUAUUUUUGAGGGAUUUGCUGCAUUGGAGCAGUGUAGGCUAAUAUGAUCUACAUGUUUCCUUCUGUUUCCUUGAGCUUAUCGGUGUCAGCAUGGCCCCAUAUUGAUGGAGUGGAAUGUGAGCAUUUAUCUCCCUGGAAUCUUGAGAGAGAAAGAGCACAAGCAGGGGGAGUGGCAGACAGAGA